ACAACCCUAUGCGGUGGAUCACUUGGCUCGCGAGUCGAUGAAGAGCGCAGCAAACUGCGUGAAUUAAUGCGAUUUGCAGGACACAUUGAUCAUCGAUAUCUUGAACGCAUAUUGCGGUUAUGGAUCGCUUCCAUGACCACGCCUGUCUGAGGGUCGGUAUUAAUAU
rnacentral:rRNA from 1 species